AGAAGGGAGGAAGGAAGCAAACUCCGGCUUCUUAUAUUUCAAAUUGAAUUGGGAGCAAGAUAUUUUAACGGCCACAAUUUAUAAUAGUACCCUCAUACCACAAAACAGGCUUAUCAAAAGCCCAAGUAAAAAUCCUCACACUCGAAAAUUAACUUACUUCCCAGACCCUUAUACUACUGAAUCAUGUCUAAAAAUAAAAAGACAGGAGAAUUACAGCUGUGGAUGGCCAAUUUACCUUGUGCAGUCAAAGCAUGUCUCCUGUUACCUUGCAGCAAAUGAAUGUCAUCUGCAUAUCAAUAAAUAUAUCGAAGGGAUGCAGUAUCUGAAACCCAUGUCAACUAUAAAAAGGUAUUAUGUUAAUUAACAAGUGUGCCAACACAUGAAGAACUGUGCAAUUUUAUUCUAUAAUCUUUUUUAAAUUAUCACAAUCUAAUUUUAAAGAAAAAUUUUAAAAGGCUAAGAACCAGUACUAAAAAAUUACGCAAUGCCAAUUCUCUUCAUGUCACCCUCCAGUAAAAUAACUUGCUAAGUCUUUUCAAACAGAAAAGCAAUAUACUAGUAGUUGAUUUAGAAAAGAGUAAUUUCUGUAACUCAGUUUUCUACAUUAGGGUCAAGCUUUAUAGUAGGGGAAUGAAAGAGUGCCAAAUCACACAUUGUGUAAUCGGAGUGCUACCUGGAAUACAUUAGGUAGAUUUUUACUUGUUAUAAUUUAAAAACUGUAAGAUAAAAUUCUACAGAAGUGAAUUAAAUAUCCUAAACUGACCUUUGUGUAUUCACAAAGUAUACUUACUUAGUAUGCUCACAUAGUAGAAGUUUAAUAUAUGAAGCUCAUUAAAGAUUGAUAGUUUCACUGAUACAUGAUGAAAAAUAUAUUUAAAUCUCAGAAACAUAUGUUGACCACAUGUGCACAUGUAAAGCUUUCAAAGUUACUUUAAAAUGUGAAAAUGAGUAAAGCUCCUGUUAUCCUUGAUAAAUGUCAGAUGUCAUGCACUCAUGUCCAAUAUAUACUAUUUUUUACAAAGCAGAGUCCCCAGAAAAGGCAAUUUUGAAUCCACCGGUAGCAUGUAAUGGUUAUACAUAACAAAUC